GGGGGGAGCGGCGAGCGCUCCUGGCGGGACCCAAGGGGCAGCUGCCCCGGCGAGCUGGGCACGCGAAAUGGGACGGACAGACGCUUAUCUACACUGGGGGGAGGUACAAAAUACUAGUGCGGCAAGGCAGCUGGCGGGAAUGGCGAGACAGACGGCUGGAAAGUUGGAUACGGGGCGGAUUUAGUCCAGGAGAGUCAGUCUCGCAGUUUUCAACUUCCACAUAGUACUGGGAUCCUCAAGUGCUUAAAAAUCAUUAUUCAGGCUCCAAAAUCAAAAGCCUGGUUUAAAAAUUGUGAGAUUAAAAGGAGAACUACACAGCUGCUGAGGCUUUCAGACGAUCACGAGACUUUUGAUGAAUUGGUGAGCUGGCGAGACUGCAAUCUGUUCUGCGGGAUGCUUCCCUUUGAAUAAGACUGAGGGCUGGUCUACCCGACACACUUGAGUAAAACGAUGCUGUUCAGCAGCCUGAAAAGGGAAGUGGCUUAACUACACUGAUGGGAGGAGCUCUCCUGUCCUGUUCUCCUAGAAGCAUCUUCACUAAAGUGUUAUCACAGCUUUGUGACUCUCUGUGAAUGAUCUGAUACAGUCGUCUCUCAAGUCAUUUAACCAUGCAGCUGAACUGCUGAGGUUCUGCAGCAGAAUAGAUCUGUUUG